GCCUCGGUAGCUCAAUGGUAGAGCAGUUGACUCUUAAUCAAUUGGUUGAAGGUUCGAGUCCUUCCCGGGGUACCA
rnacentral:tRNA from 3 species